rnacentral:piRNA from 1 species
CCCACCAGAAACCAAUGAUUUCAUUUCUCCU